rnacentral:RNase_P_RNA from 1 species
GAAGCGCGCCAGACCGCCGCUGGUGCAAGCCGAAAGGCAGACGCUUUGGCGUCGGGUGGAAACACCGCACUGGAGGAACGUCCGGACUGCACAGGGCAGCGUAGGAGGUAACACCUCUCCACCGAAAGCCGCAAGGCCGCAAGGUGAGGAUCAGAGCAACAGAGACGAGCCGAUUCAGUUCGGGUGAAACGGGCAAUCUCUACGCGCAGCAAUACCAAGUAGGCACACGCAAAGCGAGGCGGUUCGCCGCAGCGUCAUGACCGGGGCCCCCGGAGUGUGCGGGUAGGUAGCACCGAGCCGUCAGGCGACUGGCGGCCCAGAGUAAUGGCGGUCACGUCCCGGGCAACCGGGAUGCACAGAAUCCGGCUUACCGGCGGGCUUCACAC